AGUGAACGCUGGCGGUAGGCCUAACACAUGCAAGUCGAACGGCAGCACAGGAGAGCUUGCUCUCUGGGUGGCGAGUGGCGGACGGGUGAGGAAUACAUCGGAAUCUACUCUGUCGUGGGGGAUAACGUAGGGAAACUUACGCUAAUACCGCAUACGACCUACGGGUGAAAGCAGGGGGUCUUCGGACCUGCGCGAUUGAAUGAGCCGAUGUCGGAUUAGCUAGUUGGCGGGGUAAAGGCCCACCAAGGCGACGAUCCGUAGCUGGUCUGAGCGAAUGAUCAGCCACACUGGAACAGAGACACGAUCCAGACUCCUACGGGACGCAGCAGUGGGGAAUAUUGGACAAUGGGCGCAAGCCAGAUCCAGCCAUCCCGCGUGGGUGAAGAAGGCCUUCGGGUUGUAAAGCCCUUUUGUUGGGAAAGAAAUCCAGCUGACUAAUACCCGGUUGGGAUGACGGUACCCAAAGAAUAAGCACCGGCUAACUUCGUGCCAGCCGCCGCCGUAA
rnacentral:rRNA from 1 species